AACGAACGCUGGCGGCAGGCCUAACACAUGCAAGUCGAGCGGACAUCUUCGGAUGUUAGCGGCGGACGGGUGAGUAACGCGUGGGAACGUGCCCUUUGCUUCGGAAUAGCCUCGGGAAACUGGGAGUAAUACCGGAUGUACCCUUUGGGGGAAAGAUUUAUCGGCAAAGGAUCGGCCCGCGUUGGAUUAGGUAGUUGGUGGGGUAAUGGCCUACCAAGCCGACGAUCCAUAGCUGGUUUGAGAGGAUGAUCAGCCACACUGGGACUGAGACACGGCCCAGACUCCUACGGGAGGCAGCAGUGGGGAAUCUUAGACAAUGGGGGAACCCUGAUCUAGCCAUGCCGCGUGAGCGAUGAAGGCCUUAGGGUUGUAAAGCUCUUUCACCGGGGAAGAUAAUGACGGUACCCGGAGAAGAAGCCCCGGCUAACUCCGUG
rnacentral:rRNA from 1 species